GUGUUAGAAAAGCCCAGGGAUGACGCUCUCAAACCGCCAUCCCACAAACAUGGAUCAGGUAAUGCAGUUUGUAGAGCCAAGUCGGCAGUUUGUAAAGGACUCAAUUCGCCUGGUUAAAAGAUGCACCAAACCCGACAGAAAAGAAUUCCAGAAGAUUGCCAUGGCCACAGUGAUAGGAUUUGCUAUCAUGGGAUUCAUUGGCUUCUUCGUGAAACUGAUCCAUAUCCCUAUUAAUAACAUUAUUGUGGGUGGCUGAGUCUUGGGACAAGUGAACCAAGGAGGGGGUGACAAGCUCAUGAAGUAAAACAUUGCCUGGA